CUCUCGCUCGGCAUCUGGCUGACUUGUUUAAUUAUCUUGGGUUUUUUUUUUUUUUUUCCAGAUGCAGAGAGAGAGAGGAAGCGCACCAAAGAGCAGCACAGGAGGGGAGCAGAGCGCCGUAAGGAGGUGGGUCGGUCAUUUCAGGUGCUGCAAGUGAGGACAGCUGCAGGGUCCAUCUCUGGACCGAGCAGCUGAUGAAGAGGCACCGGGCAAUUGCAGGAACAUCCCAGUUAGCCAAUGCGCGGUGGUGAUGUUUUUGUUGCUGAUGGAUUCGGAUCCCCGGCCCUCGGAAAGCUAAGUUGAGGGACCGUGGCCGGGGAGGGAGCGAGUUUGGGGGUCGUGGUGGAGGGGUUUUAUGGCUAGCGCCGGGGCGAGGGCUGUCUGGGAGCAGUUCCCCUUGGCUGGGCAAAGGGAGCGGGUUACAUGUCACCACGAUGCUAGACCGGGCAGGGCAGUUGCAGCCUGUGUUAUGUCUGCGUGUCUCGUCCUGUGUGUCUCAGCCCUUCCUCGGGUCUCAACGCCCUCUUUGCGCUCGAGGGGCACGGCACGCUUCUCAGGCGCCGUCCCUAGGCUCUCGAACGCCGGUACUUGUCAGCGUACCGCCAAUCGGGCGCUUCUUUUCUCGCAUAGCGAGCUUACGGCGUGGAUCGUUGUUGCGUGUCGGAAGUUUCUGGAGGGUCCUCUAUUUGCAGCGCUAUACCAGGCUGCGUCCGGAGCUCUGCUCUCCAGCUAUCCGUUUUCAGGGACUGGGUCUUCCUCCCUGCAUCCUUACCUCCUUAGGUCUUGAAGACGGGCUUCUUGCUGCCCCCAUCAUCUCGGUUUUGACAGUAACUUCUUAUAACAGGCCAUUUAUGGUCAAUUCUCUUCUGGGGUUGCCAUAGAGCUUCCUCACCUGGGUGUCGUGCCCUAUAGGUCGCCUUGUUCGGCAGCCUCUCCGGUCCGGGAGUCAUUCCUCUCGCUAAGAGUGUUCUCUCGUUUGUGAGUCGCGUUGUUUGUAGCGUUCUGUGUAGCGUCUGUCUCUGUGUGUGGUGUGUGUGUGUGGAGCUGCUCUGCCCAGGGCUGUCGAGUCGGGGAUAGGCGGAAUAGCAAUAGGAGCGUACGGUUAGCGUGCCGAUACGGCCCGUCCGGAAUUGUUUGGCUCUCGCUCGGCAUCUGGGUGACUUGUUUGAUAACUCGGUGUG